AUCUAACCGAACAAAUGAGGGCGGCGACGACUACGAAACCCUCUCCAGGCGGAGCCGGACGCGCAGAGGCCCCGCCUCCUGGGGGUCGCGGCCCGCGCCUAGCGCCAGCGGUCCUACCGCGGUAGAGACAAACAAACGCGCUCACAAAGCGGGUCGGCUCCCGGCGUGGCGCGCACCCAGCCCCAGACAUUCACUGGCUUUUAAAAGCGGUCCUUUAUCGAAUGCCAGAGAAGCUGAUGGUCCUGGGCUCCCAGCGAAAAGAUCAGGAAACAUCUCCAUCACACUGUCUGGAGGUGCGAGGGCAGAGAAAAAUGAAUGGCAGAGGAGACACAACAAAGGAACUGGCUGCUGGCUCCGGAAAAAAAAAAAAAAAAAAAGCUCAGGAAAUGGCAACACCGCAUCUCAAGUCAACCUUCCUGAAAUCCAAUAGGGUCUUGGGCUACUGAGGAGAACCUAAAAUUGGACAUCAUGCAGUAAGAAGAUGAGAGAAGAAAGACAUGAGUCUGAGUGUAACUGGUGGAGCUGCCACUCUAACUCUUGAUUCCUACCUCCCUCCUUCUUUUAUUCAAGAGAAAAUUAAACUAUAAGUUGUUUAAGCCA